CCUACGGGAGGCAGCAGUAAGGAAUAUUGGUCAAUGGACGGAAGUCUGAACCAGCCAUGCCGCGUGCAGGAUGACGGCCCUCUGGGUUGUAAACUGCUUUUAUAGGGGACGAAAAAAGGGGAUUCUUCCUCACUUGACGGUACCCUAGGAAUAAGCACCGGCUAACUCCGUGCCAGCAGCCGCGGUAAUACGGAGGGUGCAAGCGUUAUCCGGAUUUACUGGGUUUAAAGGGUGCGUAGGUGGGUCGGUAAGUCAGCGGUGAAAUCUUCGAGCUUAACUCGGAAACUGCCAUUGAUACUAUCGAUCUUGAAUCGUCUAGAGGUAAGCGGAAUAUGUCAUGUAGCGGUGAAAUGCUUAGAUAUGACAUAGAACACCAAUUGCGAAGGCAGCUUACUAUGGAUGUAUUGACACUGAGGCACGAAAGCGUGGGGAUCAAACAGGAUUAGAUACCCUGGUAGUCCACGCCCUAAACGAUGGAUACUCGACAUUUGAGAUAUACUUUAAGUGUNUGAGNGAAGANAUAGUAUCCACCGUCGGAGACGAGUCGCGAGAGUUAGUAACGUUACUUAAAUAGAAGUUAGACGGCGUUGAGACGNGCCGACGGACGACGACGAGGGAGGAGG
rnacentral:rRNA from 1 species